UCAAGAACAUUCCACAAUGGGCGAAAGCCUGAUGGAGCGACACCGCGUGCAGGAUGAAGGCCUUCGGGUCGUAAACUGCGGUAGUAUGGUAACAAUGCAAAUGAGUGCCAUACGGAAAGAGGUGGGUAACUACGUGCCAGCACCAGCGGUAAUACGUAGACCUCAAGCGUUAUCCGGAUUUAUUGGGCGUAAAGCGCACGUAGGUGGUUUUGCGCGUCCUUCUGUUAAAGCCCACCGCCCAACGGUGGAAAUGCAGGGGAUACGGCAGAACUAGAGGAGGUUAGAGGUGCAUGGAACUCACGGUGUAGGGGUGAAAUCCGUUGAUAUCGUGGGGAACACCAAAGGCGAAGGCAAAGCACUGGGACCUUCCUGACACUGAGUUGCGAAAGCGUGGGGAGCAAAAAGG
rnacentral:rRNA from 1 species